GGAUUGACGUAAUGGUCGUGCCUUAAGGGGUAUGAACUGUUGCUGUUGAUUUCUCACCUUCUGGAGAAACUUGAUGUCCUUAAUUUGGUGCGCCGGGGAAGCAGGACUGUUACCUUGAAAAAAUUAGAGUGCUUAAAGCAGGCUAUCGCCUGAAUACAUUAGCAUGGAAUAAUGAAAUAGGACGGCAUGGUUCUAUUUUGUUGGUUUCUAGGAUCACCGUA
rnacentral:rRNA from 1 species